GAGAGAGAGAGAGAGAGAGAGAGAGAGAGAGAGAGAGAGAGAGAGAGAGAGAGAGAGAGAGAGAGAGAGAACACAGGAGUGAAACAGUGAGAGAGAGGGAGAGAGAGAGGGAGGAGAAGAAGAAGAACCAUCCAACACUGCAGUCACUGGAAGUCUGACUUCUCCAGCACCUGACCUUCACAUCAGACAUGCAAGCCUGCGUGACCAGGUUUUUGACCCCAGUGCGUGAUGAAGAGGCUGAAUCUCAGAGGAAGGCACGCUCAAGACAGGCUCGACAAACUCGGCGGUCAACACAGGGUGUCACACUGGCAGAUCUCAAGGAGGCUGAAAAGAUGUUUGGCCAAUCGCAGCCAGAGAAGAACACAACUGAGACUGAAAGAUGGGAGGGGGGCAAGACAGCAGGGAGGACAGAAGAAGGAGAUAGGCCAGAGGCAAAGUCAUUGCUGGGUCUGCCAAGAAAUCCAGAGGAGAACAGACCCUGGCGAACACGAAGUCACAGUCAGGAGGAUUUGUGUUAUCCACGACAGAGGUUUGGAUCCCAAGCUGAGAACCCAUCCCCUACUUCUGCCAACUGUUUCCUGUUUCCCAAUUCAUCGCUGACCAGCCGGCUACCUACCAGGAUAACAAGCAAAGACAGCAACAGAAACGGUCAAAUCUCUGAACGGAAAAAUGAUGGAGAGAUUGGUAAGGAGCACUCAGAUUUUCUGCAGUCUUUACGAGAAAGACGACAAGCUAGAGAGCAAAGCCUCACAUCUCGGAGCCGAGAGCAUGACAGGACGUCCAGGUUAGACUCCGCUUCCAGUGCUGGAGAUGACAGCUCCACUGACCGCCUGCUGAGCCGUGUUAGCUCUUACACCCGUCGUGAAAAUCGGCUCGCCUCCCUGGGGAAAGGUGACGAAGACAGCAGCAGCUCCAAGGAUUACAAGAAGCUCUAUGAAGAUGCCUUGUCUGAAAAUGAGAAACUGAAGAACAAGUUGCAGGAGAACAAGCAGGAGCUGUCCAAAAUUAGGGGCCAGCUGGACAGAGCCAGUCAGAAGCAGGACCGGACUUCAGAAAAAACAACUGUGCUGGAAUCAGAAAAGAAGGAGAAGCGUGCUUUGGAGAGGAAAGUUUCUGACAUGGAAGAAGAAUUAAAGACCCUCCCACAGUUAAGUCAGAUCAUAACCUUACGGCAGGUGAAUGAGCGGCUUGUGGCAGAAAACAGAGCCAUGACACGAGUCGUGGCCAGACUGUCGGAGGUCUCUCCACUGCCGGAGACAGAGGACCUUUAACUCACUCAGUCCAUCUCACGUCCUCUUCUUUGUCUUCCUGUACUCUGCUGCCAGGUUUUAUCAGAUCUCAAGUCAGACAACCAGCGGCUAAAGGACGAGAACGGAGCCCUGAUUCGAGUAAUCAGUAAACUGUCCAAGUGAUCCCACCAUGACCUGUAGGCUCAUGCACUGUCUGUCGCCUGUGCCCAUAGGAAGGGGAUCGUGAGGCCCAGUCCCCUUGCGCUCACACACGUGCACACCUGCUCCAUGAAUAUGCUGUCCCUGCUCAGUGCCAUGCAGAGUGUGUGUCUCAAAUUUACAGGGGGCUCCUUUUAGCCACUUUGAUUUUAUUGUAUAAAAUGAAACAAACAACCCUGCAUGCCAAUGGGAAGAAAUGAGAUGAAUUACCUCUGGGAGGUUCAACAGAUGAGAUUCACAGAUUUAGAAUUUUAGAAUUUUAUUAUUAUUUACAGAAAAAAUAUUUAGAAGUUGUUUUUUUUUUUUUUUAUAAUUGAGUGUUCUGUAAUAUCACACGAGUGUACUUAUGUGUCACUUUGAAAUGAUACAAUCUGAAAGAAAUAAGCUUCUUAAGUAUUUGCAGAUCUACUCUAAUCGUAAGACAUGCUCAGCAGUUUUAAGCUGAAGUGGCCUGUUGAUCUCUACAUGCCUACCUAAUUACUUCACUCUGAAUAUUUCCAUUAUUAGUGUUCUAUAAAAAAAAAUCAAUUUGAGUAAAAUGUUGCAUACUAUUUGACAGAGUCAAGGAAAAACUCAUCGCCUCUCUUAAUAUGUGCUAAGAAAAACAGAUGAUCCAGAUUAAUUCUUAUGAGAAAACGGAAAUGCAUGUAAAUUAAUCAGCAGGUUUUAUGAACAUUAUUUUUUUCUCACUUUGCACCUCUGUUCAGAAUGGUGUCAGAUGGAUAUCAAAUAGGAAAGAGAAAGAACAAUGGAGAGCAAGGCUGCUACCAGAUGGUGGGCUUGGUGGACAUAAGAAUUGUACUUUCAUAUUUUACUGUCAAAGAGUAGAAAGGAGUCACUGCUGUAACGUCCUUCAUAGUCAUGUUGUUUGUAAUCGUUUGAUAAUCCUCUCAUGAAUAUAUAAAGCUAAUCUUGAAAAUGUAUUUAAAAAAUGACAGGUAUGCACAUCAUGAAAAUGUAUUUUUGAAUGACACGUAUGCACUUCUGUGUUUUGAAGUAUUUGAUAAUUAUUAAACACGCAGCCUUUACUAGAAUAAGCAGGGUCAUAAAGUAAAAAAGAGUGAUAAAAAUUAAUCAGGUUUGUCAACCAAAAAAAAUAAUCGUCAAAUUUUAGAGUGCCUGUCACGUAGUAGUUUACAUUCCUAAAUCUCAGCUGCAAAUUUAAAAAUAUCUCGCUGCUCUUUGAAUUCUCUGUUAUUAUCUUGGUCAGUGAGACUUUCCUGGCAGAAAGUUUGAAUGGUCCCGUGAGAGACCCAGCAUGGGCGUCUCAUUUAAGCAAUCGUGUGGGCCAAAUUUAGAGUUGCCAAAUGACUGACAUGCUGAACAUUCUUUGGUCAAGAAAAAGGAUGUUCAGGUCAACGUGAAACUUGCAAAAAUGAAUAUAAAGGCAGUAAUAAAUAACAGGAAGGUCGACAAGAGAAAGGUUUGGGGCUCCAGCUAGGAGAUCCCCGUUUAAUGUGAUUUUGCUUUUUGCAAAGAAAAAUAAAAAAAGAUUUUUGCGUGAGCAAAAAUUGGUGAUUUGUCCCCCUUUGGUGGCAUGAUGGAGAACAGAAAAAGUGUCUAGGCAUCUAAGAAGACCUAAGAAAACCCAAAGAAUGUCAGCCCAUUGAAAUGACUACAAAUGAACCCACCAGUGUCGAAGACAGUGAGCACACAAGAUCAUAUAAUGUGGAAUGUUAUAGCAACUGAGCGAGUUUAUUUUAAAUUACAUAUGAAAAUCAUUCCACUUUGGAUAUUAUACAGUAAGUUACAAAGAUAGCGAUACUUUCUCUGUAAUAAUUUGUGGGUGCAACAUAAAAAAAUAUGAAGGCACUGUAUACAAAAUAUAAGUGUAAUGUAAGUGUAGACACAUAUAGAGCCUGCACACAGUUUAUGACGUGUGUGCAUACAGUACAUGGCACACAUAGAAAUGUCCAGUUUGAUGUACUGCACGUCAUUAGAAUAAUUGAGUCAAUGGGCGCCUUCACUCAAACUACAAAUGUACAUCGAUCCGCUCUAUACAAUUCAAAGGUAAGCGUUUACUGUAAUAUUAACACUUUACACUAUGUGCACUGACAUUUAAGGUAAAUUUUAACAUUCUAAUAAUUUUUUGUUAAUAAUUCUGAAAACGUUUUGAACUACACCAUUUUUAUGUGUUUACUUUUCAUAAGUUAGCCAGUUUACUUUGAAGCAAAUACAAAAAUUAUGCUUUUACAGACAGUUUAAACAUAUAUAACUAAACCUUUAUGGUGUUAUGAAGAAAAAAAAUAAUGUGCUAAGUUUGUUCCAUCCCAAAUACAUU